rnacentral:misc_RNA from 1 species
AAGUCGUAACAAGGUAUCCGUAGGUGAACCUGCGGAUGGAUCAUUACUAAAGGACCUAUCCAACGUCCUGUGAACUGUUUUGAAAUUUUUGUCAGCGGUCUUCACCGGCUGCUGGCAUACCACAUAAACGUAUAACCUAAACUGAAAUCUACUAGUAAGAACUAAGAGAACUUUUAGCAACGGAUCUCUUGACUCUC